rnacentral:rRNA from 1 species
UACGUAGGGGGCGAGCGUUGUCCGGAAUCAUUGGGCGUAAAGAGCGUGUAGGUGGACUGGAAGGUCUGGUGUGAAAGCCCGGGGCUCAACCCCGGAGGGUCACUGGAAACCAACAGUCUUGAGUCUGGAAGAGGAGAGUGGAAUUCCUGGUGUAGCGGUGGAAUGCGCAGAUAUCAGGAGGAACACCAAUUGCGAAGGCAGCUGGCUACACGGUAAUUGACACUGAGGCACGAAAGCGUGGGGAGCAAACAGG